GGCGUCGUGGCCCAAUGGUAAGGCGUCUGACUACGACUUUGUCCAGGCGGGUUCGCUUUGGGAUUUCGGGAAUCAGGAGAUUGAGGGUUCGAGACCCUCCGAUGUCA